UUUUCAUAUUUGCUUUGCGGACAGUGGGUUUUAUUCAUGUACGCACACCAUCAUUGUCUUUAUUUGCCCAAUGAUUUGUCUUCCAAUUGCUUGCUUGGGAACCGACUUGGCAUGAACACGUCAUGAAUGAGUUUAAUACCAAGUCACAUUAACUCUUUGUAUAUAUGUACCUUGAUGUAAAAAUGAAACUUUGAUAUUUAAUGAUUGUUUAUGAAUGAAUGACAUUGAAUGCGAG
rnacentral:lncRNA from 1 species